AGACAUCAAGGGGAGAAGUGGAGUUGAUCCCUGGCCAGGAGGGCGGGAGCCUUGAUGUCAUGGUGCCUUUUAUGAUCUGGGCAGUUUGGUGAUGAGUAAACCAAUCCUCUUCGUCAAGCACCAAGCCAACCCAAAGGUUGGUGCCGUCAUAGCCAAGAUGAUGGUGAAGGUCAACCAUGGGUCCCUCUGAAUGUUGAUGGCUCACCAUAGCUAUGGUGGUUGUCAUUGAACCUUGGCUACAACCUACCUGUGAUGAAUAACUCAAAAGAAGCAAGCCAACCACAAGCUGGUUCCCACCAUAGCAAAGAUCAUGGUGAAGGUCAACGGCAGGUCCUAGUUAACAUCAAGCUCACUGCGCCGCAACCGCUAGAUCCCAGUUGCUUAUACAUUCUCUUGAGGAUGGACGCCGAGCGGCUUGGCAGCAUCACCACCUUGCUGGAGAAACCCAUCAGCAAACAACAUCUGAAGGAGGGCCAUUCGGUGGCUCUAACGAGGAUGAU